rnacentral:lncRNA from 13 species
UGGGUCAGAAGUGGGCAUAACCGCCUUUAGGGCAAUUCUCUGGGCGUACCAAGUUAACCUGUUAGAUCUCUAGGGGCGCUAUUUCAUUUUUGGAUAAAAAACGUUCCCGUUUUAAGCACGAUAUUUUGUCACGAAAAGAUGCUCGACUAUGCAUAUUCUUGACAGUUUUGGAAAGAAAACACUCUGAAGUUUCAGAAUCUGCAAAGAUUUUGUCUGUAAGUGCCCCAGAACUCAUUCUACAGGCGAAACCAAGAUGAUGCAUCACCCAGGAAUUAGCAGAAUUUCUGAAGCUCUGUUUUCCAUUCUCUCCUUAUAUGGCUGUGAUUGCGCAACGAAUGAGCCUACACUUUCUGUCGUUCGCCCAAGGUCUUAGCAGCAUUGUGACACGUAUUUGUAGGCAUAUCAUUGGAAGAUUGACCAUAAGAGACUACAUUUUCCAAGUGUCCGCCUGGUGUCCUGCGUCGAAUUCGGUGCGCAAUUGCCAGCUGCUUCUACUUUACCAUUUGAUUCAGGGGAGAAAGCNNNNNNNNNNNNNNNNNNNNNNNNNNNNNNNNNNNNNNNNNNAGCUUGCUGAUAGAUUUACACAAUCCUGGAUACAGGGGUUUUUUCAUAGCUAAACGUGACGCAGAAAACGGAGCGAUUUGUCCUAAACAAAUAAUCUUUCAGGAAAAACUGAACAUUUGCUAUCUGAGAGUCUCCUCAUUGAAAACAUCUGAAGUUCUUCAAAGGUAAAUGAUUUUAUUUGAAUGCUUUUCUGUUUUUUUGUGUAAAUGUUGCCAGCUGAAUGCUAAUGCUAAAUGCUACGUUAGCCAUCAAUACUGUUACACAAAUGCUUGUUUUGCAAUGGUUGAGAAGCAUAUUUUGAAAAUCUGAGAUGACAGUGUUGUUAACAAAAGGCUAAGCUUGAGAACUAGCAUAUUUAUUUCAUUUCAUUUGCGAUUUUCAUGAAUAGUUAACGUUGCGUUAUGGUAAUGAGCUUGAGUCUGUAUUCACGAUCCCGGAUCCGGGAUGGGGAGAUCAGAAAGGUUAAUCGACUACAGCUCAGCAUUUAACACCAUAGUGCCCUCCAAACUCGUCAUUAAGCUCGAGACCCUGGGUCUCGACCCCACCCUGUGCAACUGGGUCCUGCACUUUGACAGGCCGCCCCCAGGUGGUGAGGGUAGGAAACAACAUCUCCACCCGACUGAUCCUCAACACUGGGGCCCCACAAGGGUGGGUUCUCAGCCCUCUCCUGUACUCCCUGUUCACCCAUGACUGCGUGGCCAUGCACGCCUACAACUCAAUCGACAAGUUUGCAGACAAC